GAUGAACGCUAGCGGCAAGCUUAAUACAUGCAAGUCGAGGGGCAGCAUGACUGUAGCAAUACAGUUGAUGGCGACCGGCAAACGGGUGCGGAACACGUACAGAACCUUCCUUCGAGCGGGGAAUAGCCCAGAGAAAUUUGGAUUAAUACCCCAUAGUAUUACGGAGUGGCAUCACUUUGUAAUUAAAGAUUUAUCACUUGAAGAUGGCUGUGCGGCUGAUUAGAUAGUUGGCAGGGUAACGGCCUACCAAGUCUACGAUCAGUAACUGGUGUGAGAGCACGACCAGUCACACGGGCACUGAGACACGGGCCCGACUCCUACGGGAGGCAGCAGUAAGGAAGAUUGGUCAAUGGACGAAAGUCUGAACCAGCUAUGCCGCGUGGAGGAUGAAGGCCCUCUGGGUUGUAAACUUCUUUUAUAUGGGACGAAAAAGGGCCUUUCUAGGUCAACUGACGGUACCAUGUGAAUAAGCACCGGCUAACUCCGUGCCAGCAGCCGCAGUAAUAC
rnacentral:rRNA from 1 species